rnacentral:rRNA from 1 species
AGUGAACGCUGGCGGUAGGCCUAACACAUGCAAGUCGGACGGCAGCACAGUAAGAGCUUGCUCUUACGGGUGGCGAGUGGCGGACGGGUGAGGAAUGCAUCGGAAUCUACUUUUUCGUGGGGGAUAACGUAGGGAAACUUACGCUAAUACCGCAUACGACCUACGGGUGAAAGCAGGGGAUCUUCGGACCUUGCGCGAUUGAAUGAGCCGAUGUCGGAUUAGCUAGUUGGCGGGGUAAAGGCCCACCAAGGCGACGAUCCGUAGCUGGUCUGAGAGGAUGAUCAGCCACACUGGAACUGAGACACGGUCCAGACUCCUACGGGAGGCAGCAGUGGGGAAUAUUGGACAAUGGGCGCAAGCCUGAUCCAGCCAUACCGCGUGGGUGAAGAAGGCCUUCGGGUUGUAAAGCCCUUUUGUUGGGAAAGAAAAGCAGCAGGUUAAUACCCCGCUGUUCUGACGGUACCCAAAGAAUAAGCACCGGCUAACUUCGUG